rnacentral:rRNA from 1 species
UACGGGGGGGCAAGCGUUGUUCGGAAUUACUGGGCGUAAAGGGCUCGUAGGCGGCCAACUAAGUCCGACGUGAAAUCCCCAGGCUUAACCUGGGAACUGCGUCGGAUACUGGAUGGCUUGAAUUCGGGAGAGGGAUGCAGAAUUCCAGGUGUGAGCGGUGAAAUGCGUAGAUAUACUGGAGGAAUACCGGUGGCGAAGGCGGCAUCCUGGACCGACAUUGACGCUGAUGAGCGAAAGCUAGGGGAGCAACGGGAUUAGAU